rnacentral:rRNA from 1 species
UACAUGUGGGGCAAGCGUUGUUCGGAAUCACUGGGCAUAAAGGGUGCGUAGGCGGUGCCAUACGUCCGGGGUGAAAUCUCAUGGCCCAACCAUGAGUCUGCCUCGGAUACGGUGGUGCUUGAGUGCGUGAGGGGUAACCGGAACGCGUGGUGUAGCGGUGAAAUGCGUAGAUAUCACGCGGAAGGCCAACGGCGAAGGCAGGUUACUGGCACGCAACUGACGCUGAGUGCACGAAAGCGUGGGGAGCAAACAGGAUUAGAAACCCGGGUAGU